rnacentral:rRNA from 1 species
GACGAACGCUGGCGGCGUGCUUAACACAUGCAAGUCGAACGGAAAGGCCCUGCUUUUGUGGGGUGCUCGAGUGGCGAACGGGUGAGUAACACGUGAGUAACCUGCCCUUGACUUUGGGAUAACUUCAGGAAACUGGGGCUAAUACCGGAUAGGAGCUCCUGCUGCAUGGUGGGGGUUGGAAAGUUUCGGCGGUUGGGGAUGGACUCGCGGCUUAUCAGCUUGUUGGUGGGGUAGUGGCUUACCAAGGCUUUGACGGGUAGCCGGCCUGAGAGGGUGACCGGCCACAUUGGGACUGAGAGACGGCCCAGACUCCUACGGGAGGCAGCAGUGGGGAAUAUUGCACAAUGGGCGGAAGCCUGAGGCAGCAACGCCGCGUGCGGGAUGACGGGCUUCGGGUUGUAAACCGCUUUCGCCUGUGACGAAGCGUGAGUGACGGUAAUGGGUAAAGAAGCACCGGCUAACUACGUG